rnacentral:rRNA from 1 species
UACGUAGGGGGCUAGCGUUGUCCGGAAUCAUUGGGCGUAAGGCGCGUGUAGGCGGCCCGGUAAGUCCGCUGUAAAAGUCCAGGGCUCAACCCUGGAAAGCCGGUGGAUACUGUCGGGCUCGAGUCCGGAAGAGGCGAGUGGAAUUCCUGGUGUAGCGGUGGAAUGCGCAGAUAUCAGGAAGAACACCUAUGGCGAAGGCAGCUCUCUGGGACGGUACUGACGCUGAGACGCGAAAGCGUGGGGAGCGAACAGG